rnacentral:rRNA from 1 species
AGUGAAUAGAUACCCGGGUAGUCCCAGCUGUAAACGAUGCGCGUUAGGUGUAUCGGUGACCACGAGUCACCGAGGUGCCGAAAGGGAAACCGUGAAACGUGCCGCCUGGGAAGUACGGUCGCAAGGCUGAAACUUAAAGGAAUUGGCGGGGGAGCACCACAACAGGUGGAGCCUGCGGUUUAAAUCGGACUCAACGCCGGGAAGCUCACCGGAUAAGACAGCUGAAUGAUAGCCGGGUUGAAGACUCUGCUUGACUAGCUGAGAGGAGGUGCAUGGCCGUCGUCAGUUCGUACUGUGAAGCAUCCUGUUAAGUCAGGCAACGAGCGAGACCCACGCCAACAGUUGCCAGCAUGUCCUCCGGGAUGGUGGGGACACUGUUGGGACCGCCUCUGCUAAAGAGGAGGAAGGAAUGGGCAACGGUAGGUCAGCAUGCCCCGAAUUAUCCGGGCUACACGCGGGCUACAAUGGUCAGGACAAUGGGUAUCAACACCGAAAGGUGAAGGCAAUCUCCUAAACCUGUCCUUAGUUCGGAUUGUGGGCU